AAUGAAUUGCCUGAUAAAAGGGCUACCUUGAUAGGGUAAAUUAUAUGAUUUAAUCAUAUUCAUUA
rnacentral:tRNA from 1 species